rnacentral:rRNA from 1 species
CCUGGCGGCAAUAGCGAGUGGGAACCACCCGAUCCCAUUUCGAACUCGGAAGUGAAAACGCUCAGCGCCGAUGGUAGUGUGGGGUCUCCCCAUGUGAGAGUAGGACACCGUCAGGA